AUUGAACGCUGGCGGUAUGCCUUACACAUGCAAGUCGAACGGUAGAGGGGCAACCCUUGAGAGUGGCGAACGGGUGAGUAAUACAUCGGAACGUGCCCAGUCGUGGGGGAUAACGUAGCGAAAGCUACGCUAAUACCGCAUACGACCUGAGGGUGAAAGCGGGGGAUCGCAAGACCUCGCGCGAUUGGAGCGGCCGAUGGCAGAUUAGGUAGUUGGUGGGGUAAAGGCCUACCAAGCCUGCGAUCUGUAGCUGGUCUGAGAGGACGACCAGCCACACUGGGACUGAGACACGGCCCAGACUCCUGCGGGAGGCAGCAGUGGGGCAUUUUGGACAAUGGGCGAAAGCCUGAUCCAGCCAUACCGCGUGCGGGAAGAAGGCCUUCGGGUUGUAAACCGCUUUUGUCAGGGAAGAAAUCUUCUGGGUUAAUACCUCGGGAGGAUGACGGUACCUGAAGAAUAAGCACCGGCUAACUACGUGCCAGCAGCCGCGGUAACAC
rnacentral:rRNA from 1 species